ACCACUUAGAAACCGCGAUUUGAAGCCAUCUACAAUUUUCGGGCCAACUUGUGAUUCUAAUGACGUCAUCAUGGCUAACUGUAUGUUGCCUGAGUUGGACACUGGAGAGUUUGUCUUGUUCCAUGAUAUGGGAGGCUAUACCGCUACGUGUGCAUGCGAUUUUAACGGUUUCAGCCUGCCGCCAACGUGGUACAUUGCACCCAAAGAGAUCCGACUCGUUCUGGAGAAGACUUUUCCAGCACAAUAUACUUUUGGUUUAGGCUUAAGCCAGAAGUCAGUUCCCGAGUGAAAGUCUGACGUUGCAAU